rnacentral:rRNA from 1 species
UACAGAGGGUGCGAGCGUUAAUCGGAAUUACUGGGCGUUAAGCGUGCGUAGACGGUCAUGUAAGUCGGAUGUGAAAGCCCCGGGCUCAACCUGGGAAUUGCAUUCGAGACUGCAUGGCUUGGGUGCGGAAGAGGGAAGCGGAAUUUCCGGUGUAGCGGUGAAAUGCGUAGAUAUCGGAAGGAACACCAGUGGCGAAAGCGGCUCCCUGGUCCAGCACCGACGUUCAGGCACGAAAGCGUGGGGAGCAAACAGG